AUUGAACGCUGGCGGCAGGCCUAACACAUGCAAGUCGAACGAGUGGCGGACGGGUGAGUAAUGUCUGGGAAACUGCCUGAUGGAGGGGGAUAACUACUGGAAACGGUAGCUAAUACCGCAUACCCUCAGAUGUGCCCAGAUGGGACUAGCUCGUUGGUGGGGUAACGGGUCACCAAGGCGACGAGCUCUAGCUGGUCUGAGAGGAUGACCGGCAAGACGGGAAAUGAGACACGGUCCAGACUCCUACGGGAGGCAGCAGUGGGGAAUAUUGCACAAGGGGCGCAAGCCUGAUGCAGCCAUGCCGCGUGUAUGAAGAAGGCCUUCGGAUUGUAAAGUACUUUCAGCGGGGAGGCGUUACCCGCAGAAGAAGCACCGGCUAACUCCGUGCCAGCAGCCGCGGUAAUUC
rnacentral:rRNA from 1 species